rnacentral:lncRNA from 1 species
UCAGAACCUGCAAAACAGCUGCUAUAGAUUUCUGGUAAGUGGCAUGUAAUCCCAGCAAUGUAAUCCUGGCUCUUGUAAGGUCAACAUUACAAAGACUCAAAGCUUUUAUAAGGGUCAUAUUUUCAUAGCUCUGACUGCUUCUUAAGAAUGAAUUCAGGAUCAGAGAGAACAAGAAGGUUUAUUCCUGAGAGGACAUGCUAGCAUCUUGAACCUUCCUAAUCUUCAAGAGCAGUUGUUCAGAACCCAGCCCUGAACUUGGCAUACAGCUGGUUUCUUGCUGAAAGAAACCAUCCAGUGUGAAACAAGGUCCUGUAACAGAUGGUCAUUCCCUCUUCAUGAAAACAGAAGAGGUUACUUCCUACAACUUAACCUGAAUUCCAAGUAAGGUAAGGGAGUUACUACCCAUCCUUAUUCAGCACUAGCAAUAGUCCAUCAUUGUUAGACUUCUCAGGUUGAGUCCCUCUAAAGAUAACCUUAGUGCUUCCUGUCUUUCAGAGCUCCUCUAACUACUACUUCA